UGGGGAAUAUUGCACAAUGGGCGCAAGCCUGAUGCAGCGACGCCGCGUGAGGGAUGGAGGCCUUCGGGUUGUAAACCUCUUUCGCCAGUGAAGCAGGCCAUCUUCUUUGUGGGGUGGUUGACGGUAGCUGGAUAAGAAGCGCCGGCUAACUACGUGCCAGCAGCCGCGGUAAUACGUAGGUGGCAAGCGUUGUCCGGAUUUAUUGGGCGUAAAGCGAGCGCAGGCGGUUUCUUAAGUCUGAUGUGAAAGCCCCCGGCUCAACCGGGGAGGGUCAUUGGAAACUGGGAGACUUGAGUGCAGAAGAGGAGAGUGGAAUUCCAUGUGUAGCGGUGAAAUGCGUAGAUAUAUGGAGGAACACCAGUGGCGAAGGCGGCCCCCUGGACGAAGACUGACGCUCAGGUGAGAAAGCGUGGGGAGCAAACAGG
rnacentral:rRNA from 1 species